UACGUAGGUGGCAAGCGUUGUCCGGAUUUACUGGGCGUAAAGAGCGCGCAGGCGGCUGGUCAAGUCCGAUGUGAAAUCUCCCGGCUUAACUGGGAAACUGCAUCGGAAACUGAUCGGCUUGAAGGUGGGAGAGGGUAGUGGAAUUCCCGGUGUAGUGGUGAAAUGCGUAGAUAUCAAGAGGAACACCUGAGGUGAAGACGGGUUGCUGGGCCAACACUGACGCUGAGGCGCGAAAGCCAGGGGAGCAAACGGG
rnacentral:rRNA from 1 species